UGCGCAGGCGGGGAAAUAAGUCAGUGGUGAAAAGCUGCCGCUUAACGGUAGUCUUGCCAAUGAUACUGUUUUUCUUGAGUAUGGUUAAGGUAGGCGGAAUGUGCAGUGUAGCGGUGAAAUGCAUAGAGAUUGCACAGAAGGCCGAUUGCGGAGGCGGCUUACUGAGCCAUAACUGACGCUGAGGCACGAAAGCGUGGGGAUCGAACAGGAUUAGAUACCCUGGUAGUCC
rnacentral:rRNA from 1 species